GGAUAAUCUACCCUUAGGACCGGGAUAACCCUGGGAAACUGGGGAUAAUACUGGAUAGGCAAUUAUUCCUGUAAUGGUUUUUUGUUUAAAUGUUUUUUCGCCUAAGGAUGAGUCUGCGGCCGAUUAGGUAGUUGGUUAGGUAAUGGCUUACCAAGCCGUUGAUCGGUACGGGUUGUGAGAGCGAGAGCCCGGAGAUGGAACCUGAGACAAGGUUCCAGGCCCUACGGGGUGCAGCAGGCGCGAAACCUCCGCAAUGUGAGAAAUCGCGACGGGGGGAUCCCAAGUGCCAUUCUUAACGGGAUGGCUUUUCAUUAGUGUAAAGAGCUUUUGGAAUAAGAGCUGGGCAAGACCGGUGCCAGCCGCCGCGGUAACACCGGCAGCUCUAGUGGUAACAAUUUUUAUUGGGCCUAAAGCGUCCGUAGCCGGUUUAAUAAGUCCCUGGUGAAAUCCUGCAGCUUAACUGUGGGAAUUGCUGGAGAUACUAUUAGACUUGAGACCGGGAGAGGUUAGAGGUACUCCCAGGGUAGAGGUGAAAUUCUGUAAUCCUGGGAGGACCGCCUGUUGCGAAGGCGUCUAACUGGAACGGUUCUGACGGUGAGGGACGAAAGUUAGGGGCGCGAACCGGAUUAGAUACCCGGGUAGUCCUAACUGUAAACGAUGCGGACUUGGUGUUGGGGUGGCUUUGAGCUGCUUCAGUGCCGAAGGGAAGCUGUUAAGUCCGCCGCCUGGGAAGUACGGUCGCAAGACUGAAACUU
rnacentral:rRNA from 1 species